rnacentral:rRNA from 1 species
AUUGAACGCUGGCGGCAGGCCUAACACAUGCAAGUCGAGCGAGCGGCGGACGGGUGAGUAAUGUCUGGUACACUGCCUGAUGGAGGGGGAUAACUACUUGCAACGGUAGCUAAUACCGCAUACCCUAAGAUGUGCCCAGAUGGGAUUAGCUAGUAGGGGGGGUAACGGCUCACCUAGGCGACGAUCCCUAGCUGGGCUGAGAGGAUGACCAGCCACACUGGAACGGGGACACGGUCCAGACUCCUACGGGAGGCAGCAGUGGGGAAUAUUGGACAAUGGGCGCAAGCCUGAUGCAGCCAUGCCGCGUGUGUGAAGAAGGCCUUCGGGUUGUAAAGCACUUUCAGCGGGGAGGCGUUACCCGCAGAAGAAGCACCGGCUAACUCCGUGCCAGCAGCCGCGGUAAUUC